rnacentral:lncRNA from 1 species
CCUAAAGUUUCACCUUCUCUCUUUCCUUUGAAAGAGAGAGCCCCUAUGAGAGUCUAACCUGGAACUGCUUCCUUUAAAAUUAUGCUGGAUGGCAGUGAUGGUGAGCAGAUGCCACAUCCCUUCCCCCCAGCCCAGCCUUGGUGCCUAAAACCAGUCACUCUAUCACAAAAGGAAUAAAAGCUCUAUGUCUGAAUGCCACUGAAACCCAAUUAGAAUUUAAUCCAGAACAUAGAUUGAGUGUUAAGCACGGCGAACUCCCUUUAGUAUAAGUCCCAGGGCUCAAGAGUAGGCGUAAUAGCCCAACAAAACCAAAAUCUUUGAUGGAUAGCGUCACAUCCCAUAUGCUACGCCCAGCACCUCACUGAGAUAAGCAGUACAGAGCUUAUCACCGUUUUAUCAAAGGGGAGACGUUGAGAUUUAGAGAGAGAGUAACUUGCUGAAGGACUCAGAAAGUGACAUGGGCAGGGCUCUGAUUGCGACCAGUUACGACCUACUGAGACGUUCUCAUCCGCUGCCCAUGAGGAAGGUGGAGGAAAGAAGGGGACGAGGGAGGAACUGCUGAAAGAAGCUGUUGGCUGAGUGCACUAGUUUUGAAACUUUAUUGAGAUUUAAUUUACAAAUGAUAAAGUUGACCCAUGUGUAGCUUACAAUGCAGAGAGUCCUCUGUACGUAAUGGACACAAAUCCUUUUAAGACGGGUGAUUUGAAACUAUUUUCUCCCAGUCUAUGACUGGUCUUUUCCUUUUCUUAAUGGUGUCUUUUGAAGCACAAACAUCAUCCAUUUCGAUGAGGUCCAGUGGAUCAGUUUUCUUUUUUUAUGGUUCAUGCGCUUGUUGUCAUAGCUAAGUAACCAUUGCCCAAUCCAAGGUCUGCCCGUUCUUCCAUCUUCCUAAGCCUGGCAGAUGCUAGGUGUUUGGUCAGUGAAUGGAUGAAUGGGUACGUGUCCCUAACCUUGACCCUUGUACCUGGAAUGGAGAACAAGUCCCAGGCUCUGUGCAUCCUCCAGUUCUGAAAUGAAGGUUCUUGUGUGUAUCACCAUCCGCUCGUGUAGGCAUUUCUUCUGAAGGCUGCUAGAGGUGUGAGGACAAAGGGCUGUAUAUGGGGAGUGAAGAAAGGAGGAAACCUUGAAGGCAGGGAUUCCAUCCCACCCUGUGACGUCAACACCAGUCACAGUCUGUGCCAGUCUCCUUGCGGUGGGCUGUUGGUCUGCCACGUGAGCCCAAACAUCAGUGUCUCCCAAGGGGGCCAAAGUCAUCUGAAGCUCUAGGAUACCGGCCAGGCUCUGUAGGAAGUCUCUCCAAAGUCCUUAGACUCCAGUGUUUGGGUGAUGCUGAUGGGUCUCUGUUCAGCUUUUUAGGUUUUGUCACAAUGAUACUAUCUACACCCCUGACUUGGUCAUAACCUACAAAAUGCACUUCCGUCGUUGCCUUCUACUAGAUUGCUUUUUCAGUGGGCUUUGAUUAGGACAUGCGAGAUACGGUUGUGGGCAUCUGUGGGCAGCCUUUGAUGCAAUGCUUCACUAUGAUACAAAGAGGAAAAAAGUAAAAGUCCCAGCCUGAGAUCUGUAGCAUUUGUUAUUUUAAUGUUGUCUUUCUCCCUUUAAACAGCCCAUUACACUGAGAGUGACAAUUUCUUGUUGCAGUUUGGAGUCAGAUACACGUGGGUGUGAUUCUGCUUUCACUGGGUACUUAACAGACAAAUGGUUUCACCCUCUUGGAGCCUCAGUGUCCUCAUCUGUAAAAUGAGGCUAAUAGUACUAGGCUUACAGGGGUUAUUGAGAAGGUUAGGUAAAAUAAUUGACUAAUAUCAAGAAGAGAACUGCCAGAGUUCCCGUUGUGGCGCAGCGGAAGCAAAUCGGACUAGUAUCCUUGAGGAUGCGGGUUCAAUCCCUGGCCUCCCUCAGUGGGUCGGGGGAUCCGGCAUUGCUGUGACCUGUGGUGUAGGUCGCAGACACAGCUUGGGCCCUGCGUUGCUGUGGCUGUGGCGUAGGCUGGCAGCUGGAGCUCCCAUUCCACCCCUCGCCUGGGAACCUCCAUAUGCCAUGGGUACGGCCCUAAAAAGACCAAAAAAGAAAAGCAGAGAAUUGCCACUCAAAGUUGGCACUUUGGGAAAGACCAGUGAAGAAAUUUCCUUACAUCUGAGAUUUUUCAGCAAGGCAAACAUGUGGGAGAUGUACUAUCUGGGAGUUGCCAGGAAUAUGAGUUUUUAAAUUGUUGUGUAAGUAGGAACUCAGAGAACAACAUCUCUACGUUGUGUCAUUAUCUGUGAGCACCUGGCCUGGGCUCCUGUAACGGCUGUGAUGGUGAUUGUUGUGAUGGCAACAGUAAUGACGGGAGGGGGCGCUUUCAUUUAUUGGGCAAACAGUGUGCCAGACACAUCUAUGGACUCACUCCAUUCUUAAGAUAACUCUGUUAGGUACGUACUGUAUCCUGUAGAGAAACUGAGCAACCGAGGGGUAAAGAGAGAAUCAAGGCUCAUCUGCUAGGAUGAUUUGAAAUGAUUUGACUCCAGAGCCAGUGCUCUUUGCUCUGCCUGUAUAUAUAUUCAGUAGAAUCUCAUUAAAUGAUGCUGUAGCCUUGAUAGUUUAUGCAAAGGGAAAUCUCUGUUGGCCCCAUGAUGGUUUCAAUGUAUGGUUUGGUAUCAGAUGAUUUUACUUUUGGAUUCAGUGUAACUCACAAAGAGGUUAUCAGACUUGAGAAUUUCACAAGUCAGUAAAAAAAAAAAAAAA